rnacentral:lncRNA from 1 species
UGCGUGUGUGUGUCACUGCUUGCAUAGCUGCUACCCGAGGAGAUGAGGAAAGGCUGUUGGAUCCUUGUAACGGGGAUUACAGUGUGGGACUCCAUGGGAUGGUGCUGCCUAUAGGCAGGACAAGGCUUUCCUCAGUUAUAUCUUCCUGGAAACAUCGGCAGAGACAUGCUCAGUGGUUUGCCUUUAAAUUCAGCCUGACAAUGAAGGUAUGUAUCAUAUAAAUUCC